rnacentral:rRNA from 1 species
GUUGAGCUAACCGCAAGGAGGCAGGCGACCACAGUGGGUUUAGCGACUGGGGUGAAGUCGUAACAAGGUAGCCGUAGGGGAACCUGCGGCUGGAUCACCUCCUUUCUAAGG